ACAUAUUGUUGUCCCAAAAAUUUGGGAAGGUAUAUUUUCCUAUCUAUUUCCAGAAUAAAUUUAAUAUAUGAGACGAUUUUUUUCUGUCUCUUAUUAAAUAUAUUUGAGACAGAAUUUCUACCGUCCGAAAAAUUGGGAUUUCAAACACACAUCCUUGUUUUUAUGUUGUCCGAUUUAAAAAUAGAAGUCGGCAACUAAUUUUAUUAUUUUAAAUCCUGUUGCGCGCACGGGAACUAGAAAUAAGUUUGGGGAUUUCAAAAAGAGCAGAGAACGAGCAUAUAUUGAGUGAGAAGUGUGGAGUGAGGAGUGAGGAGUGAGGACCUUUGUUAGUUUCAGCCCAUUCCCAAAUCACAAUCCUUCAUUUCAAACUUCAACCCUAACUUGCCAAACCAUUCUCUUACUUCCUCUCUUCUUCUCUCCCAAUGACGGACGACUGACGGCUGGUCAUCGGAGCUUUGUUAUCGGUUUCUCAUGAACACGGUGCUGAAGAUAGAGGAUCUGAUCGAGUGAGGAGUGAGGAUCUGCUGAAUUUUAGGAAAAGGAUUCCUUAUACUUUGUUGUUCUUAGCCCAUCCAACUACGUCAGUCACCGCUGCAAGUCCCAGGCGACAAUCAACAAUGUGCGCUGCAGUGCUGCUGAUGCUUGGAUUGAAGACCUGGCAUAUAUUCCUGCUAUUGAUUUAGUUAAACACAAUCAUUGUUGCUGCUGCUCUGAAAGAGAAGAUGCUACUGUUGCUCAAAGUUAUUAUAGCACAGAACAUUUACCGACGUCCAUAAUAGGUAAGAGUAAACCCCCCCUCCCCCCUUUUAUUUCUUUUUCUUUGUUGCCUUCAACACCAAACGAUUUCUCAAAGUCCAGUGGGUGCCAGGGAAUAGUAGUUUAGAAAUGUAUUAGUUGGGCUUCAUUGAUAACAAAAGAGUAGUAGUUUCCUAUGCUUCGAUAGCUAGCUGGGUUUUUUAUCAGCUAUGGAUCUUCAAAGUAUCUACUACGCUUGGCUACUAGUUUCUCUCUUUCAAAUUACAUCUAUAGCAGCUGUGACAAAUUCUGAGGAUGGUAAGGUCUUGUUCCACUGGUUAAUUUCAUCUUAAUAAAGACAUCAGAUUAGUUCCAAUAUCUUUAAUUUCCUGAUGCAGGUGAUGCUCUGUCUACCCUCAACUUUGAUUGGCAGAAUAUACCAACUAAUUGGGUGUGUUCAGAUCCUUGUGGGGAUGGUUGGGAUGGGAUUAAGUGUUCUAGUUCUCGAGUGUUCUCCAUAACAAUAUUAAGCAGUGGUAUGAAAGGUCAGUUUUCAGGAAACAUACAAUUCCUCUCUGAGUUGCAGACACUCAGGAAGAGUCUUAUGGGGCAUAGUACUUGGUUCAUCCAAUAGGGCAGGCUUACAAAAAUGUUGUAGGUAGUCAUUUGGAGCCAGUGUUGAUGCUAAUGAAUACGACAAUGACAGUAUAAAGAUGCGAAGUCAUCCAGUAGGUCCUUUCGAAAGGCAAAGUCGUGAAGAACUAAAGAAGUCCAUAAUGGAGCUUAUAGUUCUAGUUUCAAACCAAAUUACACAUCAGCGUAGGUAAGAGCAAC